GCUUAACUCCAGAAACGCAUCGCACGAUCCUUCUCCAGCUACCGGCGCGAGCCAGCCCACUCCUUCUCCAGCUACCGGCGCGAGCCAGCCCGCUCCUACACCUCCGUGAUCACGGUUUCAUUCACUUCACGGAAGCCAGCUUCCUAUGAUGGAUUGCUUGCUUUUUCCUGUUUUUUCCUUUGAUGCACUUGUAUUCUGCUGGCUUGCUAUGAAGAAACUUUGCAUAUUGUAAUAUGUAUGGAUCGAUGGAACUAUGUGAUGGAUAUAUAUGUGAUGUGAAAUUUUGAUGGAUAUAUAUGUGAUGUGAUGGAACUAUGUGAUGGAUAUUUAUGUGA